rnacentral:rRNA from 1 species
AGUGAACGCUGGCGGUAGACCUAACACAUGCAAGUCGAACGGCAGCACAGUAAGAGCUUGCUCUUACGGGUGGCGAGUGGCGGACGGGUGAGGAAUACAUCGGAAUCUACUUUUUCGUGGGGGAUAACGUAGGGAAACUUACGCUAAUACCGCAUACGACCUACGGGUGAAAGCAGGGGAUCUUCGGACCUUGCGCGAUUGAAUGAGCCGAUGUCGGAUUAGCUAGUUGGCGGGGUAAAGGCCCACCAAGGCGACGAUCCGUAGCUGGUCUGAGAGGAUGAGCAGCCACACUGGAACUGAGACACGGUCCAGACUCCUACGGGAGGCAGCAGUGGGGAAUAUUGGACAAUGGGCGCAAGCCUGAUCCAGCCAUACCGCGUGGGUGAAGAAGGCCUUCGGGUUGUAAAGCCCUUUUGUUGGGAAAGAAAAGCAGCAGGUUAAUACCCCGCUGUUCUGACGGUACCCAAAGAAUAAGCACCGGCUAACUUCG